rnacentral:rRNA from 1 species
AUUGAACGCUGGCGGCAGGCCUAACACAUGCAAGUCGAACGAGUGGCGGACGGGUGAGUAAUGUCUGGGAAACUGCCUGAUGGAGGGGGAUAACUACUGGAAACGGUAGCUAAUACCGCAUACCAUCAUACGUGACCAGGUGGGAUUAGCUUGUUGGUGGGUUAACGGCUCACCAAGAUGACGGUCCCUAGCUGGGCUGAGAGGAUGAGCAGCCACACUGGAACUGAGGUAAGCUCCCUAUUCCUAUGGGAGGCAUCAGUGGGGAAUAUUGAAUAAUGGGCGCAAGCGUGAUGAAGCCAUACGGGGUGUAUGAAGACGGCCUUAGGGUGGUAAAGAACGUUCAGCGGGGCUGCGUUACCCGCAGAAGAAGCACCGCCUAACUCCGUGACAGCAGCCGCAGUAAUAC